AUUGAACGCUGGCGGCAUGCCUUACACAUGCAAGUCGAACGGCAGCACGGGUGCUUGCACCUGGUGGCGAGUGGCGAACGGGUGAGUAAUACAUCGGAACAUGUCCUGUAGUGGGGGAUAGCCCGGCGAAAGCCGGAUUAAUACCGCAUACGAUCUACGGAUGAAAGCGGGGGACCUUCGGGCCUCGCGCUAUCGGGUUGGCCGAUGGCUGAUUAGCUAGUUGGUGGGGUAAAGGCCUACCAAGGCGACGAUCAGUAGCUGGUCGGAGAGGACGACCAGCCACACUGGGACUGAGACACGGCCCAGACUCCUACGGGAGGCAGCAGUGGGGAAUUUUGGACAAUGGGCGAAAGCCUGAUCCAGCAAUGCCGCGUGUGUGAAGAAGGCCUUCGGGUUGUAAAGCACUUUUGUCCGGAAAGAAAUCCUUGGCCCUAAUACGGUCGGGGGAUGACGGUACCGGAAGAAUAAGCACCGGCUAACUACGUG
rnacentral:rRNA from 1 species